UGUGUGUGUUUGAAUAAUUAUCUCUAUACCUAUCUAUCUAGGUGGAUAUAGUAUAGAUAUAGAUGUCUACCUAUCUAUCAUGUGUGUGUUUGAAUACUUAUCUCUAUACCUAUCUAGGUAGAUAUAGUAUAGAUAUAGAUGUCUACCUAUCAAUCAUUUGUGUGUUUGAACAUUUAUCUCUAUACCUAUCUAGUAGAUAUAGUAUAGAUAUAGAUGGCUAUCUAUCAAUCAAUCAUGUGUGUUUGAAUACUUAUCUCUAUACGUGUCUAUCUAGGUAGAUAUAGAUGUCUAUCAAUCAAUCAAUCAAUCAGUCAUGUGUGUGUUUGAAUACUUAUCUCUAUACCUAUCUAUCUAGGUAGAUAUAGUAUAGAUAUUGAUGUCUAUCUAUCUAUCUAUCGUGUGUGUUUGAAUACUUAUCUCUAUAUCUCUCUAUACGUGUCUAUCUAGGUAGAUAUAGAUGUCUAUCAACCAAUCAAUCAAUCAAUCAAUCAUUUGUGUGUUUGAACAUUUAUCUCUAUACCUAUCUAGUAGAUAUAGUAUAGAUAUAGAUGGCUAUCAAUCAAUCAAUCAAUCAUGUGUGUUUGAAUACUUAUCUCUAUACCUGUCUAUCUAGGUAGAUAUAGAUGUCUAUCAAUCAAUCAAUCAAUCAAUCAUGUGUGUGUUUGAAUACUUAUCUCUAUACCUGUCUAUCUAGGUAGAUAUAGAUGUCUAUCAAUCAAUCAAUCAAUCAAUCAAUCAUGUGUAUGUUUGAAUAGAUAUAGUAUAGAUAUUGAUAUCUAUCUAUCUAUCUAUCAUCUAUCUAUCUAUCUAUCUAUCUAUCAUGUGUGUGUUUGAAUACUUAUCUCUAUGUCUCUCUAUGUAGAUAUGGUAUAGAUAUAGCUGUCUAUCUAUCUAUUGUGUGUGUCUUUGAAUACUGUUCUCUAUAUUUUCUUAUCUAGAUAUGUGUGUGCAUGUGUAUGUAUAUGUUGCGUGUGUGUGUGUGUGAAUACUUAUCUAUAUAGCUAUCUCUAUCUAGAUAUGUGUGUGUAUAUAUGAAUACUCUCUAUAACUAUUUAGCUAUCUAUAGUUAUCUAUCUAGAUGUGUGUGUGUAUAAGUAUGUGUGUGUGUGUGUGUGUGUGCAUAAGUGUGUGUGUUUAUCUCUACAUCUAUCUAUCUAGAUGUGUGGUUGUAUGUGUAUGUGUAGCUAUGAUAUAUAUGGACACUCUAUCUCUCUAUCCAGAUGUCUUGUGUAUAUAGGAGUGUGUGUGUGUAUGUAUGCAUACAUACGCAUCUCUCUAUCUAUCUAUCUAUCUAUCUAUCUAUCUAUCUAUCUAUCUAUCUAUCUAUCAUCUAUCUAUCUAUCCGUAUGAGUGGACUUUGUUUCCUAAAGAUUCCAAAUCCAGAAAAAAUUAAAAUGAAUUAUAAGUGGUAGCACAUUGUCAGCUAUUACAUACGGAUCAAAACUAUCAAAAUGUAUCAAAUCACUUUGGUAUAGUGCUUGGAAAAUUUCAUUUUAUAACAAAAGAAUUCAUAUCCUCAGCACGUUUUUUCAAUUCCUGUACAAUUGGUACCUUUUGGAAACAAGCAUCAGAUACAUAUCUCUCCCCCUCACUCUGUUUCUCUUUCUUUCUAAUAUGUGUAUGUGUUUCUAUACCUAUUUCUAUCCAUAUCUAUGUAUGCUCCUCAAGAUGUAUGUGUGUGUAUACCUAUUUCUUUCCCUUCCUCCCCCCUUCUCAAUAUGUGUAUAUGUGUGUGUGUGUGUGUGUGUGUGUGUAUAUAUAUCUGUGUGUUUCUUGGGACCUUAUCAGAUGCAAGUCAUCCCCCGUUUUGACACACUUCUAAGACAUUUCAGGGAAGAAGUGAUACAGAACCCUUCACACAAUGUGAAACUACUUCUGGUUGUCACCCAUCGUGUUUUGUCCUUGAAAUGUGGUAGAAGUGUAGAGAAAUGGUGAGGGACAGGAGAUGGGGGAGAAACCAUCUUCUGAAUUCCUGAUGCACCUUUAUCAGUGCUCAUAUCACAUUGGUGCCCAAACUUAUGAUUUUAAGUAUGAAAGGAGUGUUAAAAGUGGAGGGAAGAUUUCAUUGAAAUGAAUGUUAGAUUUCAUUGAAAGGAGUGUUAAAAGUGCCGGGAUUCAAAGGGGAGGCAGAUCAUCACAAGGAGGUUUAAAAUAGUGCUGGCUUAGGACAGGAAGGCAUGGAAAGGACAGAUCAUGGAAAAGGGGUUUAAAAUCCCCCCUGCUCUCUCCCUUCCCCCAUAAUAAUAUUGGCUUUCAAGAUUGUACUAUAGUUAGCUUUCUAGUUUUGUUUUCCCACCAUUUCAAAGUUUUUCUUGAUUUAAAAAAUUUGGAGUGGGCAGGGAAUGCACUCGCUCAUGUGAUGGUUCAGAACAUGAGACAGAAUGGGAGAAAGACUGGAGAACAUAAAGGGUCUGAUGGGAUUUGUAAAAUGAAACAAUUUCUUUUAAAAUGGAAGGGUAUGAUAUGCUUUUCUAAGAACUUGACCCCCACCCUUACUGCAACACAUCUGAUGAAGUCCUCAGAUUGCAGUGUUAAUAGUUGCAGCUUCUCUGAGCCAUUCACUCUCAUUCAGCCUACCUCUCAUGAUUGUGAACUGAAGUAGGGGCAAGGGAGACUAUAGACAUGAGUUCUUGAAGUGACAAAAUAGUAUAUAAAAUAAUAGUAAUACAAUACACAUACACAAUAUUUACAAUUCCCACCACCAUGAGGAUUAUUUUCUUUGACAUAUGAAUCCUUUUUGAUACAAUCCUUAUAGAGUUGUUGUAUGCUUUCCGGGCUAUAUGGCCAUGUUCCAAAAGUAUUCUCUAGAUGUGGGCGAAACAUCAGGAGAGAAUAUUUCUGGAAAAAUGGCCAUAUAGCCCGGAAAACAUACAACAACCCUGUGAUCCUGGCCAUGAAAGCCUUCAACAACAAAUCCUUAUAGAUUUAGAUAUGGCCUGAUCUCUAGGCUUAUUCAUAAUAUAAUUCUUGACCCAGUUCCAUCUUUCUUCAACUUCUCACAUUCUGUUUUCAUUAUCUUUUGAAUCAUUUAAUUUUACAUCCAUAAUUUCAAAUUCCAUUUCGUCCACCAUAUACUGAUACUAUUUGUUUACUGUCCACUUUGGUUUGUCUUUUCAUCCCAAUACUAUCACCACUUGUGUGUACUCAGUUAUUGCUUCCUGUAUUUCCCUGUAAUUUCCCAUUUCUUCUCUUUGUACUAAGACCGCCAUUUCUUUUGUUAUCACCCAAUCGAUUCCUAAUAUUUGGUUUGACACAUUUUGUAUAGUCUGCCAGAAGUAUUGUACCUGUUCGCAUUCCCACAUCAUGUGCAUAAACCACCCUUUCAAGUCAAUACGGGACUUGAAAAGUAUGUGGGAAAUGGAGUUACAAUUACAGAACAAGAUAUGAGACAAGUGGUAGAGAUAAUAGGGAUGGCAAGGAAUACAAAAGUAAGAGAAAUGAAGAGGAAAAUACUACAUAAGUGGUAUUGUACACCCUGACAUACUAUUAUUAAAAGGGGAGUAGUCAGUCUUGGCAUGAAUGUCAACAGAAUAGUAAUACAUUUGACUUUUGGUUUCCAUUGGGGAUUUAGUAUGGAGUCUAUUUCAGGACUCCAUACUAAAAUUGAUGGAUAUUCAUACUAUUGUGUGCAAUGGCAUGGUAAGUUAUAUCCCUUAUAUAAAAUGGCAAAAUCAAAGUUUGAUUUUAAAAAUACUUUCAAAUCAUGGAUGGUUGAAUCCAUGGAUGCAGAAUCUGUGGAUACGGAAGGCUCAAUGCAAGGGAACAAUGAGGGGAAGGUUGAAAGGAAAUACUAAUGAUGUGUGAAGGUCAUCUUGAGUCCCAUUUCUGGGAGAAAUUUUGGCAGGAAAUCCAAUAAAAAAAACAAAGAACAUAAAUUCUUAAUAUGAAUUGAAUUAAUGUACUCUAAGGAGAAUGUGAGAGUUACUAAGGAGAAUGUGAGAGUUAAAAAUGAGAGAAGGCUGAGGUGAGGUAAUGAGAUGCAAGGUGAGCCAAAAAUAACAGCAGAGCGUUAUCUAAAAUGGCAAUUCUUAGCAGGUGCAGUAACUCCUCUCUCAGGUUUUAAGACAGGGCCAGAGCGUGAUGGUCCUUUGCACCCUUUGUUUUCAGAUUGUCAGUAGUAAAGCAUUUGCAGACCAUUUGGUGCCCUUUUGUCAUGGCAUAAAUUUGUUCUUCCAAAGUUGUCAGCUGUGGAGGUGGUGAGAAAAAAGUGCAUAGCAACACGGAGCCUCCUGCGAACCCAAAUAAAACUGCGUGAAAGAUGAAUCAGGCAACACAAGAAGGAGCAGCAGUUUGUUAAAGAAUGUCUCUGUGUUGUCUCUUUUUCUGUUUUGGAUGAGUUUCCACAAUCACCUUCAGCACAUUGUGGCCAAUGCAAUGAUAAGAUGGAUGUGUGAAACCACCAUGGCCUUUCCAGCAAGGGAGGUGGAAUUGCUUCACAACACCUUAAAUUGCGAAGGUUCUCAGUGAAGCUAUGUCACAAGUUCAGCUGAUAACAGUGAUAAAAGGGCUAGUGUGUCAUACAUGGCUUUUAAACAAUUUGGCAGUAACACAUGUGCUUUAUGUGCUGUAGAUGCAAAUUCAAUCUCUGUCACCUACAAUUUUAUAUGUAUCCAAUGUAUACCUUUCUUGUAAGAACUCAGGUUAGCCAACAGCCUAGGUGAAAACACACUGUUAAAAUCACAUAUUACAAAUAUUGAAAAAUCACACAUUGGAAGUUACCGAUCUUUUGAAUCUCAAGAUGAAAUGUUAGCAAAAUAGAAACAAAACUACAAAUGAGCUAUAGUAAAAGACAUUCAACAAUUGCUCAUUCCUCAAAUGCCUGUAGAAAUGAAAGUGUAUCUAAAAGGGCUUGAAAGACAAAAGCCAGUGUGACAACUAUUAAAACAGAAUUGUGUAACUGGAGGGCCACCACUGAUAAAGCCCUGCUAUAUGUAGCACAGGCAACAGUAAAGGAUGCUGGGAGCAGUCAUUUGAAGACACGCAGAGGUACACAAUUAUCAACACACAUAUGCAUGCUAGGUUGCCCUGAUCCAGAUUGACGUGUCUUAUGUUGAAUACGUAAUAUCCUAAGAGCCGAAUAUAUGUCCCUAUUCACUAAGGAGUGGGAAGCAGAAACAUUUUUCCCAUGAAUUGGUUGACAGUUCCAGUCCAAACGAUGUUGCUGUUUCUCCCAGUAGCCUUCUGGAAGCUCACAAACAAGAGAUAAGGAUGUGACCAAAACCUGAGACUAGCAGAGUUUUGUUUGUGUUGCAGUGCUUAUUCCCUACUGAAGCAUUCUGUGCUCCCGAGAGCUUCUUUUUUACACUUUUGACCCCUUCCUGCCCAAUAAUUUUCACAUGCCCCGGGGUAUAUAGGUAUAUGAAAUACGCAUAAAAAUCAAACAUUUACUGAUAAUCAGCAAUUGCAUAAUUUGCUAAACAGUCUGAAGAACCUUCUGCAAAGCCCAUUAUAAACACUAUACAUUGUUAACAGAUUGGUGUAAAUGGGUGCAUUCAGAAACCUUAAAUUGUUGCUAGAGUUUUUUGUGAACCCAACACUGAGGGAAGGGGACCCCAUUUGGGUUUGGGACCCAGACCUUAAGAUACAGUGCUCUAGAAGAGAGGCGUUUUACUGUCAGUAUUGGCCACCCAGGCAACUAUGGUGAGUUUCAUCCCAUCUGCAAAGAGGGAUGGAUGAACCAAUUUUUGCUCACAAUUGCAUCUAAAUGGGUUGUUCUUGUCAUGUUUUUGGCUACUAAGCAAAUUUAGAACCAGGAGAGUGUCUCCCCCCUUUCUUUUUACAAUAGAAAGUGCCUUUUAAGUCACUUCUAGUUCACUUCCUGGUUUUUAAAGCCUUUCCUGAACUUAACUUGAUGUGAAUGCACGGGUGUUGUAAUUUCACGAUCUAUUAAAAUCCUCUGACAGAGUUCCGGGGCCUCUCCAAAUUGCAAAUCUCAAGAGUCCCUAAACUGCAGCUAUGGCAGUAAAAUGGAUUGAAAUUGCUAUAAUAGCAUAACAUGAAUUGACUAUUGGUUUUCUAUGCAAAUAGGAAAGAAGAGUAUAUUUGAAUGAUAUCAUUACAUCGAUUUCAUACUACUUUAACUGUCAUGGCUGCACUGUAAGUGCUGGGAUCUAUAAUUUGGUAAUGAGCUAAUGUUUGUGGCAUAGUAGUUUGAGUGUUGUUCUGUGACUCUUGAGAACAGGGUUCAAAUCCCUGCUCAGCCAUGAAAACCCCCUGGAUGCCUUUGGGCAAGUCAUGCACUCAGAGCUUCAGAAAGCCCCAUGAUAGGUUCCUCCUAGGGUUGCCCUAAGUCGGAAAGAAUUUGAAGGCACACAACAGCAACAAAAGAUACUUUGAAUUUUAUAUUUUACCACUUAAAUUAUUAUAAAAAGGAGAAAUCUGUGUGUAGUUCAAGAAGUUUCUUCAUUUGUAGAUGAGCAAGCCCAGAUCUCACCAAGCACAACAGCUCUGUCCUAUUGUUGGGACCAUGCUACUUCUAAAUCAGUAGUUGACAUAUAGUCAUCAUGACAGCCUUAUCUCGCAAAACUAGGAUGUGAAGGGGAUACAAAUAGCCCAAUGUCCUGUUGCAAGCAGAGGCAAAUAUGGGGGAGAUUUCCAGGAGCACUAAGUCAUUAAACUCACAUCUGAGUGUGGAUUUUGCAUUAGAUUUCUGUUUGAGCUGUCCAUAGUACUGAUUCCAGGGUUGUUAAACAGCUACAUAACUCUUGGUUUUGAAGGUAGUUUCUUAUGUUUUCAUUCAAAAAGGAAAUAAACAAUUGGUCUGAAUUUUAAUUAAAGGGGCCUAAAUAUCCUAAAUGCCCUUGGAAGUUAAGUAGCUUCAGCCCAGGUUAGCACUUGAAUGGGAGACCAUUGAAGAAUACCAGAUGCCAUAGGCCAGCUUUUCUCAUCCUGGGGGUCGGGACCCCUAGGGGUAUCAUGAGGGAUGUGUCAGAGAGGUUGCCAAAUACCAGUAUUUUCUCUUGGUCAUGGGUGUUCUGUAUGGGAAGUUUGGCCCAAUUCUAUCAUUGGUGGGGUUCAAGGGGCUCUUUAAUUAUAGGUGAACUAUAAAUUCCAGCAACUACAACUCCCAAAUGCCAAGGUCUAUUUCCCUCAAACUCCACCAGUGUUCAAAUUUGGACAUAUUGAGUAUCUGUGGCAUGUUUAGUCCAAAUCCAUCAUUGUUUGAGUCCACAGUGCUCUCUGGAUGUAGAUGAACUACAACUCCAAAAUUCAACUUCAAUGCCCACCAAAUCCUUCCAGUAUUUUCUGUUGGUCAUGGGAGUUCCAUGUGAUAUCCAUGAGGUUGCCAUAAAUAAAUAAGCAACUGGUAUAUGUUAGUAAGAUCCAUCCAAGUUCGUUUCUAAAAUCAGAUGAGAUCUGGUGCCUUUAGGGCCUUUAGGCCUCUUUAUUUAAAGCUUUGGUCAGUUAUUUCUUUUUUCUUUGGAUGAAAUCUUCUGAAACUUCUUUCUGAAAGGCAGUUUCGAGCUCGUUUUGUGUGUCUGUUUCUAAGGACUGACACUCUUUCCUUGAACUCCUGUUGCGUAUUCAUAGCAUCCUCAGUUUGUUGUUUUGCAAAAUAUGGGCAGAAGAGACAGCAAAAAACAGAAAGAGCCUAUCAACUGCAUAGAUACAUUCGACAGCCAUUUGUCAUCUGCCAACCUCCUCUUGGGCAGCAAUACAAUUGACGAUAGAAAGUCUCAAAUGGUCACCAAGAAUUGGCAUUAGGACUCAUCAUUAAUCAAAAGUUAUGCAUUUUAUUAGAAUCAAGAGAUGCUAGAUGGAGGUGGCUAUUUUCACUUGCUGGUAUAUUGUAAUUUUUUUGUUGCUUCCAAAUCUCUACCCUUCUGAGAUUGUUAUCAUCAAGGGGAGCCAGUGUUCUUAUCUUUGCAGAAUAUAUCUUAAGAACUCCUGACCUCUCGAUAUCCCAAGAAGGAUCUUGCUUAUCUGCAUGAGAUGUGUUACAAUUUCUGGCACCAUCUACACUGUAAAAUUAAUGUAGUUUGACACCACAUUAACUGCCAUGACUCAAUGAUAUGGAACCCUGUGAUUUGUAGUUUGGUGAGGCACCAGCAUGCUUUGACAGAGAAAACUAGAGACCUUGUAAAACUACAGCUCCCAUGAUUCCACAGAAUUGAGUCAUGGCAGUUCAAGUAGUGUCAAAUAGCAUUAAUUUUUACAGUGUAAAUGCACCUUCUGUCAGAAGAUCCUGGUAUUAGAAGUCCUAGUUCAGUAGCACUGUUUUAAAAAAGAUUUGGGAAUGAUGUGAUCUGGAUUUUGGGGUGGGCUUGGAGUUUUAAUGCAUGACAAUGUUUUAAUAACAUAUAUGGUUUAAUUUUUUUGAAUAUUUAUAUUACCUUGUUGUAAUUUGUAUUAUUUUAUUAGCCACCUUGAGUUCCUGUAUUGGAAAAAAGUCGGAUAAAAAUAAAAGGAAAUACAUGAAAUACAUAGAAUGUUCCUAAGCACCUUCUAGAGGGCAUGGAUAUAUUUUUUGCCAUAUUUUAUGCAUGGAGCCUUGGCCAUUUUAGUCACAAGAGUGUCUUUUUUAAGCAACAGGAAGAGACUUGAAGUCACUGCGUGUCUUGUUGACUCUCCAUGAAUUUUAUAAAACAAGGCACCCAAUUCAGGGGUUCAUAGUGGUUAUGUGAAAAAGGGGGAACUUAUGGAAUCAGAAGCCUUCAUAAAUAAAGAUUUAUAAUCAAAUAGAAAUCCUCCAUGUCUCCUAAAGGACAUCCUCUUAUUGCUCUGAGCACAUUGUCUCCCUCUUCAAUAAUUCCUUAUUGAUACCUGAACACAGCUAGACUUUAAUAUCAAGUCAUACUUUUUAAAACUACUGAUAUUUUACCCGUUGAUCUUGAACCAUAAAAAGCUGCUUAUGGAUGCUUCUGUAUUUCUAAAACACUGCACACAUAAAAGUAUGGGUGAGAGAAGAGCUUGAAGAUUGCUGUUUGUGACAAGCUAAGGAUACAGAGCCUUCAGUAAAAUAUAUAUUACAGGUGACAGAAUGGGGUUUUAUAUGACUAAAUGGGAAUUACUAGACAAGAGCUUCGGUAGUUUCAAAGCAUUCAGGGGAAAGGCUUGUGUUUUGGACUAAUAUUUGAGAUGACCCUUGCUAGACACUUAAACCUAUUGUGCAUUUAUUCAGAGCUUCCACUUUAGUUAUUUUUAAACCGCAAUUUCCUAUCCUAUCUGACCAACUACAUUUUAUUUUGGAUACAAACUAGGAUGUUCCUGGUCCUAGGAUAUUACCAUCCAAAUGGCCCAGUUUCUUAUAAACUCUUGACUGGCUGUGCAAACCUCUGACUAUAUGUGUUUACUCAGAGUAAGUUCAUUUUAGUUUGGUGUGGUUUACUCCAAAGUGAAUAAGAUUGUGGCCCCUUCUACACUACCAUAGAACUGGAUUAUAUGGCAGUGUAGACUCAGGACCCGUCUACACAGCCAUAUAAUCCAAAUCUGGAUUUUAUAUGGCAGUAUAGAAGGGCCUCAUCUAAUUCAGUUCAAUGCAGAUAAUGUGGAUUAUCUGCUUUGAUAAUCUGGAUUAUAUGGUAGUGCAGAAGGAGCCUGUGUCUCCAGGAAUUUAGGCUAAUGACUUGGUCUCAGCAUGUAUCUACACUGUAGAAUUAAUGUAGCUUGAUACCACUUUAACUGCCAUGGAAUCAUGGGAAUUGUAGUUUUAAUAGAUCUGCAAAAUUGUUGGUGCCUCACCAACAUAAUAAUUAUUUUUAUUAUGCAAUGCUUUUGACAGGAAAUAAAUGAAAAAAAAACCCAAACUGCUGCAGUAGUGCAGUGGUUAAAACUGCUAGCUACAAGAAAUCUGCUGACCGGAGGGUUAGCAGUUUGAAGCCACGAGUCAGGAUGAGCUUCUGACUGUCAGCCCUAGCUUCUGCCCACCUAGCAGUUCGAAAGCAUGUAAUGCGAGUAGAUCAAUAGGUACCGCCUCAGUGGGGAAAUAAAGAAUGCCCCAUACAGACAUGCAGACAUGAUGGCAACUAUCAGAGAAAGUCUAUGUACAACAGGUUCCUUGGCAUGGAUAAAUGGAUAAUAAUAAUAAUAAUAAUAAUAAUAAUAAUAAUAAUAAUAAUAAUAAUACUUUAUUUAUAUACCGCCCUACCUCCCGAAGGUUUCCAUCAAUAAAUACAACAACAUACAGUACAUAAACAGUAUAAAAACACAUUAUUACACAAAAUAAAACCUUUAAACUAAAAUAACAACCCAUGACAAUCACAACAAUUUUCAAUCAGGAGAGGAGGAUCAAUAAUCCAAUAGGUUAACAUGGAUCCGAGCACCUGCCCAUGGCUGGAUUGAGCAUCGCCUCCAAACGCCGGAGAUGGAAUGAGGAAGGCCUUUACCUCUGUUUGUGUAUUGUAUGUCAUGGUUCACUGUGUAAAAAGCCAUUGAAUGUUUGCCUUAUAUAUGUAAACUGUAAUCCGCCUUGAGUACCUUCGAGGAGAUAAAGUAAAUAAAGUGUAUUAUUUUUAGCAUUAUUAUUAAAUCUCAAGAUUCAAUAGCUUUGACUUAUGACAGUUAAAGUGGCAUCAAACUGCAUUAAUUUUAGUACAGAUGGGUCCACAGUCUCACUAUUGUGGCACAUUGAAUCACGUGACCCUCCAGAUGUUAUUAGAUGCUACCUCCCAGUACUCCCCAUUCACAGCUAGGGAUGUUGGGAGCUGCAGUCCACCAUAUUAUUUUCAUCUUUUUUCCAUGGCACAAGUGGGCAAAGUGCAGUCUUCAAGAAAUGGUUACAUCCAUUAGCUAAUGAGAGCUAAUGGAAUUUGCAAUCCAGUAAUAUUCAGGGAGUUACACAUUUCCCAGCACUGCUCUGUCAUGUCCUAUAAGGGGAGAAAACUGGAAAGGAUUGUUUUUCCACAAGUCAUAAAGGCCUUUUUUAUUUGGGAGGACAUUUGGGUUUUUACUAUAUAGUGGCCAAUGGAGCUUUUAAUGGGGAUUAUAGUCUUUCUGUUUUACAGUAGGUCCUUGGUAUCUGCUGGGAUUUUGUUCCAGGACUCCCACCUCCAAGUCCCACAAUAAAAAUGGCAUAGCAAAAUAGUAUCCCUUAUAUAAAAUGGUAUAAUCAUGGUUUCCUUUUGGGAUAUUCUUAUUUUUAAUAUUUUCAAGCCACAAAUAGUAGAAUCUAUGGAUGCAGUAUGGAUUAAUAUGAAAAAGCGGGUUGUGUUAUAUUUUAACUCUGGACAUUGUCCAAAUCAGACUGCAACUCUCAUCACCCUCAUGCUGCACAGACCAGGGCAUCUUGGACAAUGCUUGUCAGGACUGGGGAUGCUGGGAGGUGUAGCCCAACACAUAUGGAAGGCACUAGCUAAGGGAAGGCUGCCCUAUAAUGCCUUGGAAGGGGCCUUGGGUGGUAGGAACCCCAAAAGUUAUUACUGCACAUGUAUAAUUUAUUGCCUUGCCUCCAAUUUUUGAACACGUCCAUUACGCCCAGCUAUUGGUUAUUAGUUAUUGUUGAGUUUAUGCUUUUAAGCUUUUAUACCGGUAUGUUUUUAUGUAUUAAUUCAUUAUAAUUGAAUGUAUCGUAUCUUGUUGUAUUGUAUUGUUGCAUUACUGGGCUUGGUCCCCAUGUAAGCCACCUCGAGUCCCUUCGGGGAGAUGGGGUGGGAUAUAAGAAUAAAGUUGUUGUUAUUGUUGUUGUUAUUAUUAUUGCUAGCUUGUGAGGCCAUUGCAAAAUCUUAGUACAGAUUUUAUUUUUCUAAGCCAUUUGCAGUAGUUAGUAAUGUGCAUUUCUGUUCCAUCUCUCUAUUUUCCAUUUCUCUGCAAUUUCACACAGCACAAUGUUUCCAUACUACCCAGUUAUGUAUGCAAGCACUUUUCAUUGUCGAGCGAAUAAUAUAGAUCCCCAAUAUGGUGAAAAGAAAGAAGGCAUUCUAUUCUUCCAGAGGACAAAGCAGUGGAUGAUGGAUAGGCUCUUCUCAACAGCAUGAGAUAGUCUCCUUGAAGCCCACCAAUGACCCAUGUUGUGAUUUUAAAGAAGGCAAAUUCACUAUGAAAAGAACUGAUGUAAUGAAGAAUGUUAUUUUCAGAGCAUCAUGCUCCUGCAGAUUGUCUGUGUCCAGCGGAAGCAAUAAAACGUGAAGAACUGUU